AUACACUCAGGCUCACAUUGCCCCUAGGCCACUUGCCAGCCAAGGGACAUGGCCACAUUUUGUGCCUUCUGCACCUCAGCCUUGCUUUCAAGUGCAGGUGAUGAUGGCACCCAUGCAGAACAAAUGUGAUUUGCUAUCUUCAUCGAGUUUAGUCAUCCAAUUUUCCAACCCUCAAUGGGCAAGGAAGAGUGUGGUUUCCACCAGAAGGCAGGAUGUCAGCAGUCACAGGGGCAACCAACAGGCAAAGCCACUGGAAAAUAGAUGCUGCAGGAAGCACAGGAUGCUGACUCCUGCGUCCAUCUCAACCUGGGCAUCGUGCCACCACCUUCAAGAAGAGAAAAACUAAGUAGUGCUUUGCAAAGGGGCAGCAGCAUUUCUCAUUUCUGACCAUGUCAGGCACACGGCCAUGCAGAUGAGCAGGUGGGGGACACAGGGAGGCUGUGAACACCCUAUCUCACCGAUCUCAGAAGGACAGUACAGCAGUAGCCACCAUGACCAAAAAGAUGAUUCCAGAAGUGCAGGACAACUCCCUACCCAGAGGCUGUGGCUGUGCAGUUACACACCAAGAGGGGAGUCCAGCUGGCUCUCAGGGUGCUCACUACCCUCAUCUGGGGGCCUGGAGGACAUCAAUUCCUGAGAACGCCACGUUCUAGUGAGUAGAAUGAACUGAGAGAUACACAGCAAAGCUCCACAUACUUUUCCUUUUCUUUGUGCCUGCAGUGUUCUUCAUCAGUGUGCUCUCGCUUUUCAGCUACUACUGUUGGCUGGCUGGAAAAAAUAGAACAAUAGUAAAAAUUAGAGACCAGUCUUUGGUGAUGAAGAGAAAUAUUGGCUACUUCCAGUAUUUUCUAGCUUUGGUUAUGGUUGCAGUUUUCCAGCUCACCUUGUGGGGAUGAAUUCAGGAAAAACUUCAGUUACAAAUUGAAAUGAACAUGCCAGAAGUAUUGGCUCAAAUCAACCUUGUCCUAUUAAGCCACUUAGUGAAUCAAAAGACCGCUUGUUGGACUGUUAAUCUCGGUGGCCAGAGAAAGGAGCUGAGCUGAAGAAGGUGUUGUCAGAUCAGGAACAAAUAAUUACAGCGGCAAUAGAAAAUGGAAGGCCACUUGUUCAUAACCAUUUGAAUAAGGGCAAGGUAUAUGGAAACACAUUAUGAACUGAUAUUUUCAGUUUUGUUUGCAAGAAAAUGAUUAAUGGGGUGAAAUAAUUGAAGUAUCACGGAAGAUACAUUAAAAAAAAAAAAAGCCUUUGUACAGUUUGCUGGAGUCACAGAAGCCCUACUCCAGAGCAGAACAAUGCCUGAAUCUUCAGGGUCCAUUUGUGCCGCAUUCACUAGCAACCACAAACGUGACUUAAUUUUACUUUGGAAAUAAUGCUUACCUAUCGUGAGAUGCUGUAAUAUGAACCAUCAUUACAUGUUAACAUGGCACAUGGAAUUUUGAGUGUCUAAGUUACAUUUUUAGAGUUGUUUCUUAGUAGCCAUGUGAGUUUCCACUCCAAAAACACAAGCUAAAAACUUGUUUUGAGUGAAGGACAUCUAGGGCAAAUGGUGACUGAAAGUGAAUGAGAUCCCAAUUACUCUUUCUUGUACCGUAUAAGGAAAAGAAAAUAGAUGCUUUUCUUGUUGGGUGUUUGCUAAUUUAUAAUUACUGUUUUAUGCUUUUCAACAUUUUUAAUAAAGUUUUUUAUUGUUGGCUAU